rnacentral:lncRNA from 1 species
AAGAAAAGCUGUUUGACUACAAAUGCAGCCAGGAUUUCAGGGACCAGAUCUCUGGAGAUAGAAGAAACACUUUGAAGCGAACCUAAUCUGCUAUUCUGCCUUUUUCCUCCAGGCAUUUGUCAAUUAGUAAGCAACACCCUGCAAGAAGUUAACAUGAAUAGAAAGCUGUGUGCAAAGCCCUAGGUAAGCACAGCUUGCAAGAGUCUCACGAUUCAAGGGAGAAUUAACCUUGGAGUACAUGGUCUGAAAGGCAUUAGGACUUCACGUACUAUGACUGAAGAAAAUGGAAGUAUGAGAGAAGGAAAAGAAAGGGAUGCCAGUCUAUCAAGAUGUGAGUUGUGUAAUUCAACGUGACUUUUUCCUGUAUCGUUAAGCUGUGGAGUUAAGUAUGGGGCAGCUAUCCCUGAAGCAAUUUACAUAAAAAUAACUGAUGCACAAGGAGCUGAAGAAGCAUGCAAUAAGUCACCACUUAUUACUCCAGCUUCACCUCAGUUAGAAUAUAUAUGUAUCAAGUACAUCGAAGGGAAAAAUAAGGAGUACAGAUUGAAAAUAUAUGGAAGUGGAGGCAUGAGAUGAUGCAAGCCUGAAACACUGAAAUGUUAUUGAGGAUGAACACAAUGGUAUACAUGUUAGGAAUAACAUAAACAUAAUCAAAAAGCUCCGCACAAUCUUCUCUGUAAACACUCUGCCUCUCCUUUUUGCUACAACACCACGGGAUUCAUCUGGUGAAAGUAUCUCCUGGAUGGACCAUGUUGCAACACCUCAAUUUGAAUACUACGCUCAGCUGGACCUGCUAACUGAAGGCAGAUGGCAAAAUGUUUCAUAUGCGAAUCCUUUAAUUUAUAUUUUAUUCAGGCUGCUUAUUGAAGUUAGUUAAAAUUUACUUUUGCAUUAUAAUAAAACUAUCUUAAAACAAUAACCA